ACUCCUACGGGAGGCAGCAGUGGGGAAUAUUGCACAAUGGGGGGAAACCCCUGAUGCAGCCAUGCCGCGUGUGUGAAGAAGGCCUUCGGGUUGUAAAGCACUUUCAGUAGGGAGGAAGGCGGAGUCGUUAAUAAGCGGCCUCGUUUGUACGUUAGCUAGCAGAAGAAGCAACCGGCUAACUCCGUGCCAGCCAGCCGCGGUAAUACGGAGGGUGCGAGCGUUAAUCGGAAUUACUGGGCGUAAAGCGCAUGCAGGUGGUUUGUUAAGUCAGAUGUGAAAGCCCGGGGACUCAACCUCGGAAUAGCAUUUGAAACUGGCAGACUAGAGUACUGGUAAGAGGGGGUAGAAUUUCAGGUGUAGCGGUGAAAUGACGUAGAGGAUACUGAAGGAAUAACCGGUGGCGAAGGCGGCCCCCUGGACAGAUACUGACAC
rnacentral:rRNA from 1 species